GCUAAUGGUCAUUCGGGCUAGGGCUGGUAACUUGGGCUUAGGUUAGUUGGGCUUGUAAUUUUUGAUUUGGGACUGUAAUGGGAUUCUUUUAUUGUAUUUGGUUUUGUUUGGUUUUUUAUUUAUUUAUCUGGAUUUAGGUAUGCUUUGGGCUUGGUCAAAAUAAGCCUAUUACAGCUGCCCCCUCUUUGCUCGUUGUCGUGUAACGAGAAUGGAGCAAAGACUUUAAAAAUGGCCUAUUUUGCC
rnacentral:lncRNA from 1 species